UACGUAGGGUGCAAGCGUUGUCCGGAAUUAUUGGGCGUAAAGAGCUCGUAGGCGGUUUGUCGCGUCGGCUGUGAAAACCGUAGGGCUCAACUCUGGCUUGCAGCCGAUACGGGCAAACUAGAAUUCGGUAGGGGAGACUGGAAUUCCUGGUGUAGCGGUGAAAUGCGCAGAUAUCAGGAGGAACACCGGUGGCGAAGGCGGGUCUCUGGGCCGAUAUUGACGCUGAGGAGCGAAAGCGUGGGGAGCAAACAGG
rnacentral:rRNA from 1 species